rnacentral:rRNA from 1 species
GACGAACGCUGGCGGCGUGCUUAACACAUGCAAGUCGAACGGAAAGGCCCUGCUUUUGUGGGGUGCUCGAGUGGCGAACGGGUGAGUAACACGUGAGUAACCUGCCCUUGACUUUGGGAUAACUUCAGGAAACUGGGGCUAAUACCGGAUAGGAGCUCCUGCUGCAUGGUGGGGGUUGGAAAGUUUCGGCGGUUGGGGAUGGACUCGCGGCUUAUCAGCUUGUUGGUGGGGUAGUGGCUUACCAAGGCUUUGACGGGUAGCCGGCCUGAGAGGGUGACCGGCCACAUGGGGACUGAGAUACGGCCCAGACUCCUACGGGAGGCAGCAGUGGGGAAUAUUGCACAAUGGGCGGAAGCCUGAUGCAGCAACGCCGCGUGCAGGAGGACGGCCUUCGGGUGGUAAACCGCUUUCGCCUGUGACGAAGCGUGAGUGACGGUAAUGGGUAAAGAAGCACCGGCUAACUACGU